rnacentral:rRNA from 1 species
CAGAGGGUGCGAGCGUUGUCCGGAAUCGACUGGGCGUAAAGGGCGCGUAGGUGGCGCUGCAAGUCGGUGGUGAAAGCUCGUCGCUUAACGACGAGUCGGCCAUCGAAACUGCAGGGCUCGAGCACUGUAGGGGCUAAUGGAAUUCCGGGUGUAGCGGUGGAAUGCGUAGAGAUCCGGAAGAACACCAGUGGCGAAGGCGGUUAGCUGGGCAGUUGCUGACACUAAUGCGCGACAGCGUGGGGAGCAAACAGGAUUAGAUACCCUGGUAGUCCACGCCGUAAACGAUGGGCACUAGAUGCUUGGGGGAGCGACCCCCUGAGUGUCGUCGCUAACGCAGUAAGUGCCCCGCCUGGGGAGUACGGCCGCAAGGCUG